GGGGCUCUUACACAAUGCCGCGGGUUCGUCCGGCGGCGGGGAGGGGCGUGGCGGAGCAUGCAAAUGAGGGGCAGCUCGCGCGGCGCGAUUGGAGGAGAGGGAGGAAGGGGGCGGGGCCAGAUAUGUAAAAAUCCCCGCGGGAGGGGGGCGGGCGAGUCGGCGGCGUUCGGAGGGAGCGUGAGGACGGCGGCGGGGCAGGGGGCGUGGCCUGUAUGUAAAUCCACCCGGCGGUGGGCGGGGCCUGUAUGCAAAUGAGAGCCGCCGUUUCCUGGCGCCCGCCCCGGCGUUCUGUCUAACACUGCCUCGGCCCCGCCCCUUGGGUAAAAGGCUCCGCGGCUGCGCAGUGCGCCGAAAGUCGGACUUAGCGUCUGUUACACAACGGCUGGGCAGCCAGGGGCUGCGCUCUCGGCGCGUCCCCGCUCCGCGCGUCCCCGGCGGCUCGGCUCGGCUCGGCUCCCUUCCUCCCUCCGCUCCUGCUCCUGCACCCUCCGGCAUGAGCGGGGACCAGCUGCACAACGAUUCCCAGAUCGAGGCGGAUUUCCGAGCCAACGUGAGCACAAAGAUUCCUCGGAAAAGAAACACAAAGACAAGGAGAAAACCAAACACAAAGAUGGCAGCUCAGAGAAACACAAAGACAAACACAAAGAUAAAGACAAGGAGAAGAGAAAGGAAGAGAAGGUAG
rnacentral:lncRNA from 1 species